rnacentral:rRNA from 1 species
GAUGAACGCUGGCGGCGUGCCUAAUACAUGCAAGUCGAGCGAACGGACGAGAAGCUUGCUUCUCUGAUGUUAGCGGCGGACGGGUGAGUAACACGUGGAUAACCUACCUAUAAGACUGGGAUAAAUUCGGGAAACCGGAGCUAAUACCGGAUAAUAUUUUGAACCGCAUGGUUCAAAAGUGAUAGACGGUCUUGCUGUCACUUAUAGAUGGAUCCGCGCUUCGUUAGCUAGUUGGUAAGGUAACGGCUUACCAAGGCAACGAGGCAUAGCCGAGCUGAGAGGGGUAGCGGGCACGCGGGAAAAGGAAGGCGGAAGAGACGCGUGAGAGAGGCAGCAGUGGGGAGAGUUGCGGAAGGGGAGAAAGACGGACGGUGGAAGGCAGCGUGAGUGAGGAAGGUCUUCGGAUCGAAAAACUCUGUAAUUAUGAAAGAAGAUAUGGGUAAAUAACGAUGCUUAUGUGAAGGGUACGUAAUCAGAAAGCCCCGGCAACCUACUG